AAAUUGAAGAGUUUGAUCAUGGCUCAGAUUGAACGCUGGCGGCAGGCCUAACACAUGCAAGUCGAACGGUAACAGGAAACAGCUUGCUGUUUCGCUGACGAGUGGCGGACGGGUGAGUAAUGUCUGGGAAACUGCCCGAUGGAGGGGGAUAACUACUGGAAACGGUAGCUAAUACCGCAUAACGUCGCAAGACCAAAGAGGGGGACCUUCGGGCCUCUUGCUAUCGGAUGUGCCCAGAUGGGAUUAGCUAGUAGGUGGGGUAACGGCUCACCUAGGCGACGAUCCCUAGCUGGUCUGAGAGGAUGACCAGCCACACUGGAACUGAGACACGGUCCAGACUCCUACGGGAGGCAGCAGUGGGGAAUAUUGCACAAUGGGCGCAAGCCUGAUGCAGCCAUGCCGCGUGUAUGAAGAAGGCCUUCGGGUUGUAAAGUACUUUCAGCGGGGAGGAAGGGAGUAAAGUUAAUACCUUUACUCAUUGACGUUACCCGCAGAAGAAGCACCGGCUAACUCCGUGCCAGCAGCCGCGGUAAUACGGAGGGUGCAAGCGUUAAUCGG
rnacentral:rRNA from 2 species